AUGCUGGAACUGUCGAGGUCUGGGUCGGACUUGACAGUUGGCGAGCUUCGUCGGCUUGUGAAGCUCUACCGCCCCCUCCUCUUUCUUUCGGAGACGAAGAUGAGGGACUCAAGAGUGAGGAAUUUUAUGUGGUCUCUGGGUUUCAAGGGUUGCUUUGCAGUUAGUUCCGAGGGCCUCAGUGGGGGGCUGGCCUUGUUU
rnacentral:rRNA from 1 species